GACACUAUGGCCGAGUGGUUAAGGCGACAGAUUCGAACUCCGAUUAUCUGUUUCGGUCUCCGAGCGUAGGUUCAAGUCCUACUGGUGUCG